rnacentral:tRNA from 1 species
GUGUGGGUAGUUUAAUCAGGCAAAACACAGGGUUGUGGCCCCUGUAAAUGGCGGUUCGAAUCCGCUCCCUCACCCCA